GACGAACGCUGGCGGCGUGCCUAAUACAUGCAAGUCGAGCGAAUCGAUGGGAGCUUGCUCCCUGAGAUUAGCGGCGGACGGGUGAGUAACACGUGGGUAACCUGCCUGUAAGACUGGGAUAACUUCGGGAAACCGGAGCUAAUACCGGAUACUUUCUUUUCUCGCAUGAGGGAAGAUGGAAAGAUGGUUUCGGCUAUCACUUACAGAUGGACCCGCGGCGCAUUAGCUAGUUGGUGAGGUAACGGCUCACCAAGGCAACGAUGCGUAGCCGACCUGAGAGGGGGAUCGGCCACACUGGGACUGAGAAACGGCCCAGACUCCUACGGGAGUCAGCAGUAGGGAAUCUUCCGCAAUGGACGAAAGUCUGACGGAGCAACGCCGCGUGAGCGAAGAAGGCCUUCGGGUCGUAAAGCUCUGUUGUUAGGGAAGAACAAGUACGAGAGUAACUGCUCGUACCUUGACGGUACCUAACCAGAAAGCCACGGCUAACUACGUGCCAGCCGCCGCCGUAAAAC
rnacentral:rRNA from 1 species